rnacentral:rRNA from 1 species
GUGGGGAAUAUUGCACAAUGGGCGAAAGCCUGAUGCAGCGACGCCGCGUGAGCGAAGAAGUAUUUCGGUAUGUAAAGCUCUAUCAGCAGGGAAGAUAAUGACGGUACCUGACUAAGAAGCACCGGCUAAAUACGUGCCAGCAGCCGCGGUAAUACGUAGGGGGCAAGCGUUAUCCGGAUUUACUGGGUGUAAAGGGAGCGUAGACGGUAAAGCAAGUCUGAAGUGAAAGCCCGGGGCUCAACCCCGGGACUGCUUUGGAAACUGUUUAACUAGAGUGCUGGAGAGGUAAGCGGAAUUCCUAGUGUAGCGGUGAAAUGCGUAGAUAUUAGGAGGAACACCAGUGGCGAAGGCGGCUUACUGGACAGUAACUGACGUUGAGGCUCGAAAGCGUGGGGAGCAAACAGGAUUAGAAACCCCAGUAGUCC